AACGAACGCUGGCGGCAUGCUUAUCACAUGCAAGUCGAACGGGCGCCUUCGGGCGUUAGUGGCGCACGGGUGAGUAACGCGUGGGAACCUGUCAUGAAGUGGGGAACAACCACUGGAAACGGUGGCUAAUACCGCAUACGCCCUGAGGGGCAAAGGCUUCGGCCGCUUUGUGAGGGCCCGCGUCCGAUUAGCUAGUUGGUGGGGUAACGGCCUACCAAGGCUACGAUCGGUAGCUGGUCUGAGAGGAUGAUCAGCCACACUGGGACUGAGACACGGCCCAGACUCCUACGGGAGGCAGCAGUGGGGAAUAUUGGACAAUGGGCGAAAGCCUGAUCCAGCAAUGCCGCGUGAGUGAAGAAGGCCUUAGGGUUGUAAAGCUCUUUCGCCUGCGACGAUGAUGACGGUAGCAGGAGAAGAAGCCCCGGCUAAUUCCGUGCCAGCAGCCGCGGUAAU
rnacentral:rRNA from 1 species